GACGAACGCUGGCGGCGUGCUUAACACAUGCAAGUCGAACGGGAACCUUUAUUUCGGUAAAGGUGAGAGUGGCAAACGGGUGAGUAACACGUAGGCAACCUGCCGACAGGAUGGGGACAACAUUCCGAAAGGAAUGCUAAUACCGAAUGGAGUCCGAGGAUGGCAUCAUCCACGGAUCAAAGAUGGCCUCUGAAUAUGCUAUCGCCUGUCGAUGGGCCUGCGUCUGAUUAGCCAGUUGGCGGGGUAACGGCCCACCAAAGCGACGAUCAGUAGCCGGUCUGAGAGGAUGAACGGCCACAUUGGGACUGAGACACGGCCCAGACUCCUACGGGAGGCAGCAGUGGGGAAUCUUCCACAAUGGGCGAAAGCCUGAUGGAGCAACGCCGCGUGAGUGAAGAAGGUCUUCGGAUCGUAAAGCUCUGUUGCACGGGACGAAAACCGAGCUUGAGAAUAUUGAGUUUGGUGACGUACCGAGCGA
rnacentral:rRNA from 1 species